AACGAACGCUGGCGGCGUGCCUAACACAUGCAAGUCGAGCGCGAAUGGAGCAAUCCUAGUAGAGCGGCGCACGGGUGCGUAACACGUGGGUAAUCUGCCUCAAAGCCCGGGAUAACCUGCCGAAAGGCAAGCUAAUACCGGAUAAGCCCACGGACUCUUCGGGGUCUGAAGGAAAAGGUGGCCUCUGUAUACAAGCUAUCACUUUGAGAUGAGCCCGCGGCCCAUCAGCUCG
rnacentral:rRNA from 1 species